rnacentral:rRNA from 1 species
UACGUAGGGGGCGAGCGUUGUCCGGAUUUAUUGGGCGUAAAGAGCGUGUAGGCGGUUCGGUAAGUCUGUCGUGAAAUCCUGGGGCUCAACCCCGGGCGUGCGAUGGAUACUGCCGGGCUAGAGUUCGGAAGAGGCGAGUGGAAUUCCCGGUGUAGCGGUGAAAUGCGCAGAUAUCGGGAGGAACACCUAUGGCGAAGGCAGCUCGCUGGGACGUUACUGACGCUGAGGAGCGAAAGCGUGGGGAGCGAACAGG